ACCCAUCUAUACCUACCCACCCUCUAAAAAGUUUGGUAAACAAUAACUAGCUACUUUGCUGUGGAUAUUUGAUCUCAAAUUUCAAGCAGGGGAAGGACAACCGUGCAGACAAUCCGUAGACGUUGAUCAACGGUCACAAUGUUCAUUUUCUUGAUCGGAGUUCAAAAUCGCGACUGCCUCUCUGCGAAGAGUGGACUCAUGAUUCAGGCCUCCUCAUCCCACUCAUCCAAAGACUCAGAUCCUCUCCAGGUCUUUGGGAUGGUCAGGCAGGUCCUCCAGGAGAGCAGGGUUCCUCCUGUAGAUGUAAGCGCUGGCAUCGUCGUCCAGAUUCACCAGCUCUGCCAGUGAGGACACACAGGUGUCGUGGUCUGUCAGCAUCCCAGGCAGGUGGGAUGACUUGCGCUGGAUACGACAGGAACGACGGACUGGUGUCAGGAACUUCAGAUCCUUGAUGGUGUUUUUUCGCUUGGAACCACUUGCACAUGCUUCAGUGUUGAUUGUUCUCUUAACACUAGAAGGGGAAAGAUAUAGACAGAAUUGUGUGGUUAGUUGACAGCCAUGUUCAGUUUAAUAUACAUUUCAAUAUAGAGAUGUGAAGUAGUGAUGUUCUCCAUGACCUCCAGUAUUUCCAAUAAUUGUAUGGAAGUGAUUUUAAAAUAGGUAUUUAAGAUAAGAAAUAGCACCUUUGAAGGUAUGGAGUUGUCUUCAGAUUGUAUUUCACUAUGGAGGCUCCCUCUGGUGUAGUCUCCAUCAAGCAUUCGUCAUCAUAAUCACUAUCAACUUCCUCAAUAUAACCCUUCCUUACUUUCUGCUCUGAAGCUCCCUCUCCUACUUCACUUUUCACUUCCUCAGACCUGUCAAAAUUAUUCUCAGCAAACUCAUUCCUUUCUUCAAAUCCAUAAUUUGUCUCAACCUCCACAAUUUUCUCUUCAGAUUCCUUUUUCUCAUGUGGCUCUAAAAGGAAAAAAAGAACACACCAAUGAAUAACACAUGAAUAAAGUUUACAUGAUAAAAUGUUACUCUCACAUGA